rnacentral:rRNA from 1 species
UACGUAGGUGGCAAGCGUUGUCCGGAUUUACUGGGCGUAAAGAGCGCGCAGGCGGCUCGGUAAGUCUGCUGUGAAAUCUCCCGGCUUAACUGGGAGGGGUCAGCGGAUACUGUCGGGCUUGAGGCAGGUAGAGGAAGGUGGAAUUCCCGGUGUAGUGGUGAAAUGCGUAGAUAUCGGGAGGAACACCAGUGGCGAAGGCGGCUCGCUGGGCCGGUCCUGACACUGAGACGCGAAGGCGUGGGGAGCGAACGGG